UACGGAGGGUGCAAGCGUUAUCCGGAUUCACUGGGUUUAAAGGGUGCGUAGGUGGGCAGGUAAGUCAGUGGUGAAAUCUCUGGGCUUAACCCGGAAACUGCCGUUGAUACUAUCUGUCUUGAAUGUAGUGGAGGUGAGCGGAAUAUGUCAUGUAGCGGUGAAAUGCUUAGAUAUGACAUAGAACACCCAUUGCGAAGGCAGCUCGCUACACUAUUAUUGACACUGAGGCACGAAAGCGUGGGGAGCAAACAGG
rnacentral:rRNA from 1 species